GUUCCUGCAGCGCAAUGGAUAGCGUAUUGAACUUCCAUUCCAAAGGUCGUGGGUUCGAAUCCCACCUAGGAUG
rnacentral:tRNA from 1 species